rnacentral:rRNA from 1 species
CCACGGGAUGCUGCAGUGGGGAAUAUUGGACAAUGGGGGCAACCCUGAUCCAGCAAUGCCGCGUGAGUGAUGAAGGCCUUAGGGUUGUAAAGCUCUUUUACCGGGGACGAUGAUGACGGUACCCGGAGAAUAAGCCCCGGCUAACUUCGUGCCAGCAGCCGCGGUAAUACGAAGGGGGCGAGCGUUGUUCGGAGUUACUGGGCGUAAAGGGCGCGUAGGCGGCGCUCCAAGUUAGGCGUGAAAGCCCCGGGCUCAACCUGGGAAUUGCGCUUAAGACUGGAGUGCUCGAGUGCGGAAGAGGUGAGUGGAAUUACCAGUGUAGAGGUGAAAUUCGUAGAUAUUGGGAAGAACACCAGUGGCGAAGGCGGCUCACUGGUCCGCAACUGACGCUGAGGCGCGAAAGCGUGGGGAGCAAACAGGAUUAGAUACCCCGGUAGUC